UGUAAGCGUAUACCAAAGUUGUUGCAGUUAAAACGCUCGUAGUCGGAAUUUGGCAGUUCCGGAAGUGUGCAUGUCGUGUGCGCACUUUGCGGGGACUGCUUUUGUGGUCUUGCGUAGGAUGAGGCACUUUCAUUAGUGAACGUCCUCACGCAACCACUCUUUACUGUGAGAAAAUCAGAGUGCUCAAAGCAGGCAUUUGCCGUGAAUGUAUUAGCAUGGAAUAAUAGAAUAGGACUCGGUUCUAUUUUGUUGGUUUGUUGGGACUGAGUAAUGAUUAAGAGGGACAGUUGGGGGCAUUUGUAUUCCGGCGCUAGAGGUGAAAUUCUUAGAUUGCCGGAAGACAAACUGCUGCGAAAGCGUCUGCCAAGGAUGUUUUCAUUGA
rnacentral:rRNA from 1 species